GCCGGGCGCGGUGGCUCACGCCUGUAAUCCCAGCACUUUGGGAGGCUGAGGUGGGUGGAUCACCUGAGGUCAGGAGUUCAAGACCAGCCUGGCCAACAUGGUGAACCCCAUCUCUA
ensembl:misc_RNA Metazoa_SRP Metazoan signal recognition particle RNA